rnacentral:sRNA from 2 species
UCCCCUCUUGCGCCGAAUGAUCCCGCCCGGCGGGAUCAACGGGGGACCCAGGAUCCGGGGCGAACGCCGCACCCCAUGGUGCGGGCGGGCAAUCUUCUCCAGCCCGAGCCCGGCAGCUAACUCCGCAGGCGCGUGGAGGAGAACG